rnacentral:rRNA from 1 species
AGAGUUUGAUCCUGGCUCAGGAUGAACGCUAGCGACAGGCCUAACACAUGCAAGUCGAGGGGCAGCGGGGAGGUAGCAAUACCUUUGCCGGCGACCGGCGCACGGGUGAGUAACACGUAUGCAAUCCACCUGUAACAGGGGGAUAACCCGGAGAAAUCCGGACUAAUACCCCAUAAUAUGGGCUCUCCGCAUGGAGGGUUCAUUAAAGAGAGCAAUUUUGGUUACAGACGAGCAUGCGCUCCAUUAGCCAGUUGGCGGGGUAACGGCCCACCAAAGCGACGAUGGAUAGGGGUUCUGAGAGGAAGGUCCCCCACAUUGGAACUGAGACACGGUCCAAACUCCUACGGGAGGCAGCAGUGAGGAAUAUUGGUCAAUGGUCGGCAGACUGAACCAGCCAAGUCGCGUGAGGGAAGACGGCCCUACGGGUUGUAAACCUCUUUUGUCGGAGAGUAAAGUACGCUACGUGUAGCGUAUUGCAAGUAUCCGAAGAAAAAGCAUCGGCUAACUCCGUGCCAGCAGCCGCGGUAAUACGGAGGAUGCGAGCGUUAUCCGGAUUUAUUGGGUUUAAAGGGUGCGUAGGCGGCACGCCAAGUCAGCGGUGAAAUUUUCGGGCUCAACCCGGACUGUGCCGUUGAAACUGGCGAGCUAGAGUGCACAAGAGGCAGGCGGAAUGCGUGGUGUAGCGGUGAAAUGCAUAGAUAUCACGCAGAACCCCGAUUGCGAAGGCAGCCUGCUAGGGUGCGACAGACGCUGAGGCACGAAAGCGUGGGUAUCGAACAGGAUUAGAUACCCUGGUAGUCCACGCAGUAAACGAUGAAUACUAACUGUUUGCGAUACAAUGUAAGCGGUACAGCGAAAGCGUUAAGUAUUCCACCUGGGGAGUACGCCGGCAACGGUGAAACUCAAAGGAAUUGACGGGGGCCCGCACAAGCGGAGGAACAUGUGGUUUAAUUCGAUGAUACGCGAGGAACCUUACCCGGGCUCAAACGCAGGGGGAAUAUAUAUGAAAGUAUAUAGCUAGCAAUAGUCACCUGCGAGGUGCUGCAUGGUUGUCGUCAGCUCGUGCCGUGAGGUGUCGGCUUAAGUGCCAUAACGAGCGCAACCCUUGUUGUCAGUUACUAACAGGUUCCGCUGAGGACUCUGACAAGACUGCCAUCGUAAGAUGUGAGGAAGGUGGGGAUGACGUCAAAUCAGCACGGCCCUUACGUCC